rnacentral:rRNA from 1 species
UACGAAGGGGGCUAGCGUUGCUCGGAAUCACUGGGCGUAAAGCGCACGUAGGCGGAUUGUUAAGUCAGGGGUGAAAUCCUGGAGCUCAACUCCAGAACUGCCUUUGAUACUGAGGAUCUCGAGUCCGGGAGAGGUGAGUGGAACUCCGAGUGUAGAGGUGAAAUUCGUAGAUAUUCGGAAGAACACCAGUGGCGAAGGCGGCUCACUGGCCCGGUACUGACGCUGAGGUGCGAAAGCGUGGGGAGCAAACAGG